CUGGUAGUAAUGGCAGCUUGUCAUUCAUAGGUACAACAUCCUACCAAGACAUCAUGGACUGCCUGAGGAUGGUCAUCUCUGCUGUUACAUGGCCAGAUCAAACCAUGGUGCACAGGAACAUCAGCAGCUCUGGGCCUGUUCAUCCUCCAGUCGUAUAAGGAGAUGGAGGAGGUGAGCCUGUCGGGCCUGGCCCCCGUACACAUGGUGCUGCAGAUGGAACCUGGACAAGAUGAGAAAAAACUGCAUCAACUACCUCAUACAGUAGGAAAGGAGUUGACCACUAAUUAUUUGCUGAUCGUGCUUGAGGUACUACAAAACCUGCCCUUAUGAUUAGGAACACGUCUUUCAGAUGGAAAUCAGACCUGUCGUGAUCAGCAGCUUCUACCAAAAGGCUUGUGAGAGGUGUGGACGUCCUUCCAUCUCAGCAGCCAGCCUCUGGCGAAUCAUGUGACCUUACACCUCAGGUGUAAUUAGAGGAGCAGUGCGACGGCAAGAAAGAGCUGCACCAUGAAUGGCCUGGCCCAAAGCCUGUCCAGCUGCUGACAACCUUGGCUGCACCCUGGACAUGUCAUCCAUCAGCCACCCUCCCACUAACAUUCUUUUGUUUAGUAUUAGAACGUGGUAUCUAUUUUGUAAUGAUAGACUUGACAUAGUCCUGUGGGAAUAUAGAAAGCACUUCUGUGAGUCUAUCACGGAAAACACUUCCGGUUCCUCAAACAUCCGUGUCCAUUCCAUGGAAUUAUGUGAGAUUGUGUGUGUGUGUGUGUGUGUGUGUGUGUGUGUGUGUGUGUGUGUGUGUGUGUGUGUGUGUGUGUGUGUGUGUGUGUGUGUGUGUGUGUGUGUGUGUGUCAUAAGUCACCUUUUCCUUGUAAUUAGACUGAUAUUAUUUGCUGUAUUUUUAUUAAUACUCUGCACUAUACAGCAACACUGGAUGGACAGAUUUUAGGACACUAUGAUCCACCCCAAGUUAUUUCAUCUGAACACUUUUGCACCUUGUUGGUUUACUGUGCACUGUACAGUAGUGUGGAUGACUUUUCCCCUUGCAAUAUUGGAAUUUGUGUAUUUGUGUUCAUUAUUAUUAUUAUUCCCUUCUGCAUCAUUAAAAUUAAUCUAAUAUAUUCAA